CUUCUUGAAUUUAUAUGAAGUCGUGCCUGCCCAAUGAAGUUUUUAAUGGCCGCGGUAUUUUGACCGUGCAAAGGUAGCAUAAUCAUUAGUCUUUUAAUUGGGGGCUGGAAUGAAUGGUUUGACGAAGCAAUAACUGUCUCGGAUUAAUUAAAUUGAAUUUUAUCUUUAAGUUAAAAAGCUUAAAUAAUAAUAGGGGACGAGAAGACCCUAUAGAUCUUUAUACAUUGGAUUAAUAUAUUAAGGAUAGUAUUAUGACUUGAAUAUUAAUUUAUUGUAUUUGGUUGGGGUGACGAGAGAAUAAAAAAACUUCUUUAAAUUGGACUAUGAUGAUUGGAUAAUAGAUCCUGUAUUAUGGAAUUAAGAUAAAGAUACCUUAGGGAUAACAGCGUAAUUUUAUUGGAGAGUUCAUAUUGAUAAUAAAGAUUGCGACCUCGAUGUUGGAUUAAGAAUAUAAUUAGGUGCAGAAGUCUAAUUUAUUGGUCUGUUC
rnacentral:rRNA from 1 species